rnacentral:snRNA from 1 species
AUUCUAACAGUUUUGCAUUAUA